UGUAACGGUUUGUUUAUAAGUUUGUCAUUUGCGUGAAAUCUCUACUUUCUUUGGAUUUGAUUUGAUGUGCCCACCGUAACACGUAGAAUAUGUGGAAAUUUGGCGCAAAUGCUGCUGGUGUUAAAUGUUAAUGAGUGUCCCGCGGGCGCCAUGGAAGUCCUGCGCGAACUGCACGCUCUGCAGUCGACAGGGACCCUGUGCGUUGUGGUGCUGAAAGGCGGCGAGGGAUCCGCGGCGGGCAUUACCUGCCAUCGCCUUAUCCUCAUGGCGCACAGUGCUUUCUUUCGGGCAGCGUUCAGUGGGCCGCAGCACUGGACAGAGUCAGCGCCGUCGGACGGUGUGUUCUCGCUGCCGCAGAUCGACAGCUGCACACUGAAGGAGCUGGUGCAGUAUGCCUACACGCUGGAGCUGCGUCUCAACGGGGACAACGUGCAGUCCUUCCUGAUUGCGGCGCAGUUUCUGCAGAUGACGCGGGUGGAGCGCUUGUGCUGGGAGUACGCGGAGCAGCAGAUGGCCACCGGCCUGUCCGACUGCCUGGCCCGGCUGGCCGUCCACGCUCUCGCUAAACCACACCACCACGGCACCACCCCCGUCUGGCCGCCGCCGCACUGGGCAUGAUUCGCCGCAACUUCCCACGCUGGGCGCCGAGCCAGGACUUUCUGGAAAUGGACGCGCAGCAGGUGGGUGCGCACAGGCUGACUUGACUGACUGUCGGCUUCUGAUGGAGGAUAAUGCAAUAGCUGCACGAUUGUGGACAGUACGAAGUACGUGUGGCCGUGAUCACUCUGUGAGCGGAGAAGCGGCUCACGUAAAGCGACAAAAUCUUUCAAAGGAUUUCAACGUAUUGCGCCGUGGUGCAGUGGUACUGCCUACGCGGAUCUUACGACGUAGCCGGGGUUCGAUUCCCCCAUCGGCGCCUUUUUCAGCCGUUUCUCGGUUUCCCUCGGAUUGCGCCCUGCUUAGAACUCGUUUGGUUGGCUGGCGCUUCACUUUAUUCAGCGUCAGGCGCCAGCGAUCAAUUAGUACAGCACCACAGUGGAACGAAUAAGGGCGUCUCACACUGAGCAGUUGGCAUGCAUAUUUGCAUUACGGGCUGGCGAAUGUUUGCAGUUGAUGGCUGUGAUGGCGUCGGAUGACGUGGAGGUGUGCAUUGAGGACGAGCUGCUGGAGGCGCUGCUGCGCUGGCUGGAUCACGACAGUCCCGCUCGCUUGGAGCACCUGCCCGCCCUUCUGCAGAUUGUCCGUGCCGCCUUUCUCAGCGAUCAGGCCCGCCAGGAAAACUCCCAAGCCCUCGCCAGCAGCGCUGCAGUGCCCCCGGGGCUGGGCCAGGGCGCCAGCCAGUUACCCGCCGGGAACUUGCUCAACUCGGCAGCACGCCCGUCCUACGCGCAGGAAGUGAUCCUUUGCUGGGCUAGUGGCAAGUACCGCGGCAGCGUGAACGCUUUCUGACCCUCGACAACGGCCGUGUGGCGCCUGAAUCGUCUGCCCGUGCCCACGCCCAAAGACUGCCAGCACGUCGUGCUGUUGGACGCCAGCACGAUCAUGCUUGUCCACAGCGCUGGCCGCCAUCGACUCCAGCGAGACCGUGGCUACCUGGGCCUGCGAGACAAUGGCGCGAGGUGGCCCCCAUGCUGACGCAGCGCGGGGAAGAAAGCCUGGCCGCGCUGAACGGUCGUGUUUAUGCCGCUGGGGACUACUCUCUGCUGGUUGCAGAAGGCGACCCGCUGACGUCCGUGGAGGCCUACGAUCCCCUCUGCAAUGCCUGGAGCGCCGUGGCCCCCCUCCCUCUGGGUCUGUCCGGCGCGGUGAUGGUGGCCUGUGGCGGUCGGUUGUUUCUGUUUGGCGGUGGUAGCCCGGAAGAGCGUGGCUGUUCUUUCUCGUACGACCCCGCAACCGACACCUGGACCAAACUGCACGACAUGCCGACCAGACACUGGUCCUUCGACCCUCCUGUUGCCUGCGCAGCUCCCAACGGGUUGAUCUUUGUUCUGGGUGCGCACUGCGGAAUUCGUAACUAGUGACAAGUACAACAGAAUAGCCAAAUGGUCUCUUGUAGAAAUUGUGGUUUAGGUACUUCUGGAGGAUCUGUUUUGGGUGCGCGUCGAUGCGUAUGACUGCGCCAGCGAUCGGUGGAUGCGAAAGGGUCAGUGUGAUACCAUCCUUUCCAGUGCUGAUUGGCGUACUGCCGGUCCGUCGAUGCGUGACGGUGGAUGUUGUAUUGUAUUGAACGAACGGCAUAAUCUGGUAUUAUGUCCGCUCGGGACAGCAGCAAACGACCAAAUAAACACUAGACAUGGCAACCAUAACGGGCAACAACAAUACCGCUGCUACGGCACAUGAGCCAUAGGCCAUUUUCCAUUUCACGAGAUACUCGUACAGCCUUUGUACGAGUACUUACACAGUUACACUACAGAUGUACAUGUACCGCUGGGUGCUGUUCUGUAUCGCUGGGUGCUUUACAGCUAACCUGACCAGAAGCCGCACUUCUCCCGGUCUCGCAUGCGUGGGUGGGGAAGUGUAUGUCAUUGGUGGGGAUGAAGAAGGAGUGGGGCGGCAGCGGGCCAGCAGCAUCGAAGUGUACGACGAAGAGACGGACAGCUGGUCGCUGAUGGCGUGUCGACUGCCCAAGACCGGCCCGUAUGCCGACUGCCGGCCCUUGUCAUCUGGCGGUGUCGUGAUGAAGUUGAAACGCCCCGCGGUGAUGUGACGCAGGAGAGCGGCUAGGCCGUCAUUGCCGCGUGGCAGUUAACAAUGAUCUCAUCUCCCUGGCCUGGGGGAAUUGCGUUGGGAUGUUUUAAUUUUUCUGAAAGAUAGUUCUUACGGUCGGCUGUAAACUGUGAAAUUUAGUUCCUGCACAAUGGUUCAUACAGACUGAUACAGUAUUUAGGAAGCACAUACAGUGCGCUGAGCUGGUUUCUGUACAAAGUUGGACAAAAAGGUGUGAAACGGUGUAAAUCACGUGGCAUAACGAUCAGCGACAUACUUCGACACGACGUGAUAUUCAAACUUUAAAGUAGUCGUACGUGUACGAGUAUUAUACAUAAGAUAAUUAUAACGUUUAAAUUUCUAUCAUUUUAAGUAGUACUACGCGAAUGCACUUUUUGUUACAUUGAUGG